rnacentral:rRNA from 1 species
CAAUAGCGUAUAUUUAAGUUGUUGCAGUUAAAAAGCUCGUAGUUGGAUUUCGGAUGGGAUUUGCCGGUCCGUCGUUACGAUGUGCACUGGCCAGUCCUAUCUUGUUGUCGGGGACUAGCUCCUUGGAUUCACUUCCUGGGACUAGGAGCUGACGAGGUUACUUUGAGUAAAUUAGAGUGUUCAAAGCAAGCCUACGCUCUGAAUACAUUAGCAUGGAAUAACACGAUAGGACUCUGGCUUAUCUUGUUGGUCUGUGAGACCAGAGUAAUGAUUAAGAGGGACAGUCGGGGACAUUCGUAUUUCAUUGUCAGAGGUGAAAUUCUUGGAUUUAUGAAAGACGAACUUUUGCGAAAGCAUUUGUCAAGGAUGUUUUCAUUAA